GGUUUGCUGAAUCCAUCCCCCCGUCACCUACAUUAGGUAUUUCUCCUAAUGUUAUCCCUCCCCAAUCACCCCACCCCCUGUUAUUCCUCCCCUGGACCCCCACCCCAUGACAGGCCCCGGUGUAUGAUGUUCCCCUCCCUGUGUCCAUGCGUUCUCAUGGUUCAACAGCCACUUAUGAGUGAGAACAUGUGGUGUUUGGUUUUCUGUUCUUAAGCUAUCUUCUACUUGUCACAUAAAAUGGCUUCUCAGAGGACAAUACCAAUGUCAGGAUAGGAGUUGAGGAAGAAAAAGUAAAUAAAAAGACACAAAAUGCAAACUUUUUUAUAUUUUUCAUUCAGUGGCCUUAUACAUGAUUUACAAAUUUUGCUUGAAGUUUAAUUAUAAUUAACCACUAUUUAAAUCGAAUUCACUUCUGGUUGUAUUUCCUGAUUCAGAGUUCCAUAUUGUUUCUAUUGCUGGUUUUAAUUUAUUAGAACCUUAAUUUUCUAAAUUGACCCUAUUUCCUGUCCAUUUUUUUUUCAUUCGCCUAGAGGUACUUGAAAACGCAUUAGGCAAAAAAAGAGAGAAAAUUUAUUAUUCACCAUUUUGUACAACUCUUCAAAACUCUAGAUAUGCUACAUAAUCUACAUAAUAAAAGUAAUAAUUUCAAAAGAAAAUCAAGAUGCCACUCAAUUUUGCCAUGGAUUUAUAAAACUGACACAUCAGACAAAAGGUAAGAUUUUUUUUAACUUAUUGACUGUGAUAAUAAUCCAUUAUCAACUAGCUAUUUCACAGCAUAUAUUCUGUCUAUAUAUUGGAAGAAAAUAUACAAUGGAACUCAUUUUAUGAAAAGGAGCCAACUUAAUGUAUAUCUUUAUAUUUUCACAGAAGCAUAUGAAAAAAAUUUGCUGGGUAUCUACUCACUUCAAUUCAAACAUUUGAAGAAAUUAGGAAAAUUCCGAUGAGUUUUAAAACUCUUUGCUUACUCUCAUGUAGUGCAACCAUGCAUUGAUCUAUCAUCACAGCUGGGUUUGCCAUGUAACUAAAUUCCAUGAGGAGAUACAAGGGAAAGUGAUGGAAUGAUGAAAUGGGGCAAACUCUUAUUCUGAAAGGAAAAGUAUGUCUUCCUCAUCUUAAUGCCUGAAAUGCAGACAUGAAGGAGACAGGACCUGGAGCAGCUACUUUGGACCCCAGGGUGGAGAUGGCCUGUCGAGGUGUGUGGAAUAAGCAAAUAUUAAUAGAAGAAGCCCAGGUGCCUGGCACCAAGGAGCUCCCCUAUGUUUACAAAAUAAUUGUUUGUGAGAAAGAAAGAAAUUUCUAUUUCAUUUAAAACUCGUUGAAAUCCUACAUCUGCAACUGCCAUUAUAACUAAUACAGUUAAUAAUUUUUAGUUUCAUUGCAUUGUUGUCGAAGAAUAUAUAAUGUACAAAGUCUGCCUGGAAUAUAUUGAGAUAUCUUAAGUUACCUCAUAGGUGAUUAAGUUUUGUAAAUAUUUUCUGUAUUGUUGGUUAGUUUUUAAAGUUAUUUAACUGUGUGUGUGUAUGUGUAAGUUUCAUAUGUAUUUAUAUGUGGCUCAAGCUAUCUAAUCAAUCACCUUACUACUUUCCAUACUAUGCUCUAUAAAGCACUUCUAUGGAAAUUGAUAGGUUCACCUCAAAUAAAAAGUUUAAUGGUCCCUGUGUGCUCUGCUUCCUGUUUUUAUUGUAGUGGUAAAUAGACGCUGGACCAGAUUGUCGAAUCCUAGCUUCCUCAAUGUACAGACUGUGUGGACCAGGCAAGUUAUUUCAUCUCACUUUUCCUCAGAUUUUAUAUAUAAUAGAGAAAAUAAUAGUACCUACCUCAUAGGAUUGCUAGGAGGAUUUAAGUGUGGAACAUUUAGAACAAUGUCUGGCAGAGAGUAAGCAUAUUUUUAAACAGCUACAUAUUGAGACACUGCCUGUAAGAGGCUCUGAAAAUUAAUGAAGUAAUGGAAUAUGUUUAAUAUUACUUACCCUAGCAUUUCCAAAACUUAUUUGAGUGGUCAUAACCAGUUGGGGGAAAAUGAUGUGUUCAUAGGAAUAUUGGGUUUUGGAAAUGUUAGAUUAUUCAGCUCCACUGCAUAUUGGGAAGUUUUCAUAUAACAUGGGAUACAUGAAUGCCAUUUAGGAGUUCUUUAAACCCCUGAAUAUUGAUGAGUUCUAUGGGUAUAUGCUUGUUUCUCUGUACAUACUAACUGAAGACAAGACCCAUGGAGUAUAUCUGACUCUCAUAUUUCUAGAUAUGUGUUUUUAUGAUUAACUGAAAUAUCAGAGACAAAAAAAUAGUGUAAGUCUUCUACCGUUUAAUUAUUCUUUUCUUCUGUUUCUGGUUAAUCUCCAAGUUAAGCCUGUACAUUAUUGAGUUUUUUGGAUUUUCAUCCUUUUAAUAUAAUUUAACAUUUCAUCACAAUCCUUUCAUAUUUUAAGUUACUCUCUUACCAUUUCAUAUGAACAUUGUCUCUUUAAAUAGCUUUCUCCUGUUUUUAUGAAAAAAUAACGCUUCCUUCUGUACUUUUGGGAAUGCUAAUUGUUUUCUAAUAGUAUUUUUUUCUGGUUCCUGCAGCAAAUCAUUUCAGAAACAAAAUCCUUCUGCUAGGUCAUCCAGAUGUUGUUUCCUUUCUAUUAUUUUGUAUUGUUAUUUCAUAUAUUCAAGUUUGGCCUUUAUUUUAUUUAUUUUCCUCAUUCUUAAAGAAGACAGUAGCUAAUUGCACUUAAAGUAUAUCAGUUAAGAUGGCGAGCAAACCAUCUUGUCCCAGCACAUUUUCCAACAGUGAUUCUGAAAAAUCUUUUCAGAUGUAAAAUUGAUAGGGAGGAUGAUACAUGUAUAUUUCCCAUACAUUUCAGCUUCUAUUCGGUUUUGCCUAUUCCCUUCCUCCUUUGAGAGGACAUCCUUUUAUGCCCUGGAUUGCUACUCUGAUACUCCAUAAUAAUGCAAAUAUUUCUGUAUAACAUGUAAUUGACUAGGAUGCAUAGUGGCCAGAGUUUUUCUGGAUUCUAUAAGUUUCUGCUAGGACUUACUCAUAGACUUUAUAAAUCUAAAAACCACUGUGCCAUCUCAAGGAUCCUACUUCCAAUUGUUCUCAGUUUUCUGGUUUUUUUUUAGAACUGAAGUCUCUACCUGAAUAUGGAAAGGUAUAGGUGUGAGGUAAAUGAAACAAUAUUUAGUCCAAUUCAACUAACGGUAGCUAAGAAAUAGAAAAUGGCAAGUGCCUUUCUUCUGGGUGAAAUAGUCUCUAGGGGCAGAUUUUAGGAUGCUUCAAUGUAUAAGCAUUUAACAAGACAGCCCUUUUAUUUCUCACAUCAAUAGCUCCAGCUCACCGUAGGAUAAAACAGCUAACUUCUUCUCAAAAAAAAAAAAAAAAAAAAAAAAA